AGAGCUAAGACUUUUUCUGCUUGGACCCAUGGGAAAGGACUACGACAAAAGAAUGGAAGCCAUAGGAGAAGAUGAUGAGAAGAACUAUUUGUUUUGCCUUUGUAUCCCCAGUGCCCAGCACAGUGCAUGUUGGAGGCCUACAAUACCAUCGGUGCCAUGUUUUGAUCUCAGGGCUGCAAGAGAAUCAAUCUCCGAUGUUUUCUCCAAUGGUCUAUUACAAUACCUGAAAUUCCACACCUGAAAAUUCAUUCCUUUGGGCCAGACUGCUCUUGGUUAUUCCCUGGAACUCAACAUUCUCUCUUCUGACCCGUCCAUGACUCUGCCAAAGUGGCCCCCAUCCCUGUUCUCACUCCACAUCUGGAAUGCCCUCCCUCCUCAUCUUUACCUCACAGAAUCCUAGCAUCCUUCAAAGCCCAGUUCAGAUUGGGACCAUGAGGAGAUUCUAGCUCCCCACAAAAUAACUGAAGAUUCUUCAUCUGGAGAAGAGGAGACUCAGGCUAGACCACAAUAGUUGUCAUCAAGCAUGUGAAGGGCUGGCAUGUGGAAAAGCAAUUCAAUUUGUUCUGGUUGGCCCCAGAGACAGAGCUAAGAGCAACGCAAAGAAGCUUAAUGGAAGGGAAAGCUUCCGAAAUGUUAAAUAAAUACAAAAGUAGGAAGAGCCCUUGUCAGUUACAAUAAAGGAUGGAUUUUUCUUUGGUUA